rnacentral:rRNA from 1 species
GUUUUUCAGCAAGAUAGAGUUUGAUCCUGGCUCAGAGUGAACGCUGGCGGCGUGCCUAAUACAUGCAAGUCGAACGAUGAAUCUUCUAGCUUGCUAGAAGUGGAUUAGUGGCGCACGGGUGAGUAAUGCAUAGGUUAUGUGCCCUUUAGUCUGGGAUAGCCACUGGAAACGGUGAUUAAUACUGGAUACUCCCUACGGGGGAAAGUUUUUCGCUAAAGGAUCAGCCUAUGUCCUAUCAGCUUGUUGGUGAGGUAAUGGCUCACCAAGGCUAUGACGGGUAUCCGGCCUGAGAGGGUGAUCGGACACACUGGAACUGAGACACGGUCCAGACUCCUACGGGAGGCAGCA